rfam:Schistosoma margrebowiei strain Zambia genome assembly, scaffold: SMRZ_contig0003455
AGCCUCCUGUAUCCGUGUUGAAAUUUCGUCAAACACCAGACCACAAGAUCUGAUUAGACCACCAAGAUAAGUGAAGCG